CCUACGGGAGGCAGCAGUGAGGAAUAUUGGUCAAUGGGCGCGAGCCUGAACCAGCCAAGUAGCGUGAAGGAUGACUGCCCUACGGGUUGUAAACUUCUUUUAUAAAGGAAUAAAGUGAGGCACGUGUGCCUUUUUGUAUGUACUUUAUGAAUAAGGAUCGGCUAACUACGUGCCAGCAGCCGCGGUAAUACGGAGGGUCCGAGCGUUAUCCGGAUUUAUUGGGUUUAACGGGAGCGUAGAUGGGUUGUUAAGUCAGUUGUGAAAGUUUGCGGCUAAACCGUAAAAUUGCAAUUGAUACUGGAAGCCUUGAGUACAGUGGAGGUAGGCGGAAGUAGUGGUGUAGCGGUGAAAUGCGUAGAUAUCACGAAGAACUCCGAUUGCGAAGGCAGCUUACUAAACUGCCACUGACAUUGAUGCUCGAAAGUGUGGGUAUCAAACAGGAUUAGAUACCCUUGUAGUC
rnacentral:rRNA from 1 species